CUCCGCCUCCUGAAAAAAAAAUUCUGCUCCGUGUAUUCGUAGCCCCACCCAGGCAGCCACUUCCCUCACCUUCCCGCAUGCACCUCGACUCCACACCCUGGAUCCCUCAGAUGCGCCGCCACUGCCGUCGUCACCAAGAGAGAGAGAGAGAGGGAGAGAGAGAGAGAGAGAGAGAGUGCUAGCGAUGGCAACGGCGGGCCAAACGGAUUGCCAAGCACAUGCGAAGUGUAUCCGCUGAGAUCGCUGCCCUUCUAGAUCUCCGAAUCUCGCACGAAAGAAGGAUCAUGGGGAUGGCGGCGGCGGCGGCCGGAGUCACUUCCUCCAUCAUCCACAGGUAACAGAGAUGGUCAAAUCGAAGAAGAAGAAGAGGAGAGGCUGAGCAUGUGCGUCGCUGCCGUGCAGGAAGACGAUGUAUCCGGGCCUGCCGCCGCCGCCCCAUCGCAGGAAGAGGCGCCCUCAUAGGUUGUCGAGGCCGAAGGCGACCACAAGAGAAACCUCGAGGAGGUGAGGUGAACGACACAGGGGAGGAUGCCAACCGACUGCGCGUGGAAGACUGGAAGCCAACGUGCAGUGAGCAACGGUCGAUGACUAGGGCGACAUCCACAGCAAGGCGGAGCAGGUACUAGGAAAUUAGCAAUCAGGGAAGCUUCCUCGAGAAUCUUGUUGGUUAGAAGUUCAUGCAUGGAUCGAGUCAUGUAAUAGUUAGUUUUGAUUAGCAUAUGUAUUACACUCUGCCAUUAGUUCUAUUGGUCCUAUAUUUCUGUCGGUUCAGUGGAUGUCUUAGCUUGGUCCUCGUUGCGUACUCGUGGUGUGCUUUCUACGACUGGUUUGAUGAUGGAUUUAUGCUGAACUAUUUUAUUCAACUUCAUUGAUGUGUUUCUUGACCCUGUUCUGAAUCUUUCUAAUUCUUGGGCGUAUGUGUGUAUGUAUAUGUUUUUGGUAUUAUCUAUUAAAUUAUCCAUUUGAAGUAAAAUGGCAUACUUAUAAAUUUAAUUAAUUUUCAUAUCUUCAUUUCUCAUUUCUUAUGUUGCAAAAAUUGGAAGUUAUGAGGUAAUUCCGUAAUUGCACUACGGCCAACUACAGGCAUAAUGUUGUCGGCUGCCACAAGAGCAAAAGUCCGUCGGGCGGUGCCUCUGUGGGGUCUCCCAGCCAACGACGAUGAAAUGAAGCUACAAGACCAGCCUGCUCUGUCUAGGGAUGCGGCAACCAUCACUGGACAGAAAUUCCUAUUCUUGAGCCUUGAGUUCUCUCCUCUCCCAGCUUGCACUCGUGACUGGCCGGAGAGCAACUACCGCAUUCAUGGUUUCAUCAAAGUUUCCACCAUUCUGAUUCUUCUUCUGAAUAUUGUAGCGUUGCUGCACUAUUUCUGGCAUGUCUCUAUAUUGCCAUUGGAUGCCAAGCGGAAAGUCUCAGUUAUCUAACAAACUAAAUAGGUACCAGAGGAAUUUCUUGUCUCCAUAAUAUUUUUUUAGCUAUCCACGGGAACAUUUUGGUUGUUGCUCAGAUGACUUCUAAGUUAUUUUUGUAGUUUCUGAACAGUAUGUUCAUCUAAUCUUUACAAUGCCUAGUUCUGGUAGCAGUAUAAGAUGUUUGCUUACAUUAAGCAAUACUUAUAAUAUACACAAUUUUUUCCUCAAAGUUUAUCCCAAAUAUUAGUGAUAUACAUUUUGUUUAUAUGAAGAAUCGAUUGAGUUUGCUUUAGAAGGUAUUGAAAAUGCUUAUUAAAAGCUUCUACAACCUAUUCUACAUCAAUAUCUGAUUUAAAUGUUAUAAGCUCGCUUUUGCCUGAAGGCAUUUCCCCUACUAUAUAUAUGAAACAAUCCAUGUAUAAUUAAUGAGAAGCAGUUAGCUGUUAUAUGACAUGUCAGACAUGGCGUCUUUGGGAGGUCUGUGAAGUUUUCGUUAAUGCAGUAUGUAUACAAUCUAUGAUGACAAUUUAUGUCGAUUGCUGCAUGAUUAUUUGUGACGCUGCUUAUUUUCCAUCUCGACAGUACUGAUUAGUUAUAUUUAUUUACUAAGUGUAGAUUGUUUUGUUGUCAUCCAAAGCCACUUCGUGCAUCUGAACAUUCUUUUACUGAAUAUAUAUAAUAUUUAUCUCCAUUAUUAACUAAUAAGAUACUUAUGUUGAAAAAAAAAUUAUGUUUCAUGUGUGAGCAUCCAUAUAUUUAUUGCACAAAAACACGGGUGCGGCAACGCGCACCGUCAAUGAUCUAGUACCAAUUAUAACUUAUGGUACAAGGUUCAUGUAAAAGAUAUUGCCGGGUGACUGAAAACAGGUGCAAGAAUAUAUGUACAAAAGGUUCAUAUAUAACCUUUUAGAUUAGAGAUAGUAGAAAACUAAUAAUAUGCUCAAAAUGAAGGCUUGAUUUGCACCUCAAAUAGUUUGUAGUUGUAAGCAUAGUUCACAUUGUCUUAAUCAGCAUGUAAUACACUGAGUUCAGUCAGUAAUGAAGCAAUACACAUCUAACAUAUAAAGCCUCCUAGAGUACCCGCUAUUCUAGCGCCAUCGCGGACUCGGAUGAAUCCGGUGCGCACAUUCUACCCUGCACUGUACCUGUUUGGUCCUUUUAAUCUUGCUGUCAAACAUCCUGACGUCCGUUUUUCUGUACGUUGGUUGCUUGAGUUAGACCGAAUGACGGCUGGGCCACUCUUGUGCGCGGGGCCAGCAAUUCAGCUUCUACUGCGGCUGUCGCGCGCGUGCGCUAGCGGUGAACGUGGGUGGCAGGGUGCGGGGUGGGAUGAAUAUUUUUUACCGUCCUGGCCUAGACCCGGCUGCGACUCCUCUGUUUCAGCCAUGAUGGGCCCAACUGUCGGUCUUUUGGGUGGCCAGUUGUUGGUUGGUUGGUUCCUUCCGUGCAAAGCGAUAGGCUAGGGAUCGCGUGCCUGCUGACCAGGCGAGACUUGGGUGGGUGGAUGGUGCGUCGCUGCUUUUUUACCCGCCGUGUCUAUACCCAGCUGUGUUGGUGGCCCCUGCUUCGGGGUGGUCCCGUAUGGCAGCGUUUUGGGUGUUUGGGAGGUGUGCGCUUGCUUGUGUUGCCUGCCAGGGACCGUGCGACGCGGCGUGGGAUGGGUCACGUGGGGUGCAAUUCUGCUUUUCUACUCGCUCUUCAUCUACCUAGCUGUUUCGGUGUCCCUCUGCUCUUUUGGUCCCACAUGUAAAUGUAAUGGGUGGCUCGUUCUGGGUGAGGGAGAGUCGUAGAGACAUUUCUUUCCAGGAAAGAUGGUCCUCCUCUCCCCACGUUCUCGGUACCGGGGUGGGUGGGUCAUGAGUGCAUGUUCCCCGCUUCACUCCCCUCUCCCUCCUCUUUGAUUCCCCAUCCACCGCCGCCUCCUCUCAUGCCUCACCGCCGGCCUCCUCUAUGCCUCUUCCUCUACCUCUCGGACGACGCCUAGCUACGACGCUCAAUGGCCGCCCGUGCGACAUCCUGCAUCUGGCGCGGGAGCGUGUGGUGGUGACGAGCCGAGCCGUCUUUGUGACGGCGUCCGGACGGGGCCGGGCGCAAGGCGGAGCUGCGGCCGGCGACCCGGCACCGGCGCAUGCCCGGCGGUGGGACCAUCUUCGCCGUGGCCGGUGGGGGGUUGGGCGGCAGCAAGCGGUGCAGCGAGGGGAGGCGCACGGGCGAGAGGGGUGGGGCUCUUGCUAGCCGCUCUCCCGUUCCCGUUGGUUUCUUGCCGCCACGGUGGCGUUUCUCAGAUCGAGAUGGAUGGCGCGACGACGACCAUGGCACAGGUCGACUUGGGAGCGCAUCCGGCAUCCCGGUGGCCAUGUAGCGGCUCUGGUCUCCGGGAGGGCUUAAUUUUGGUUGUGGCUGAUUCCAUCCACCUCUCCUGGUCUCACUUCUCUUUCUCUUCUUGAUGCAGGGUCGUGAUGUGAUCCACCCUGUGAAGAGGGUAAUUUCUGCUUGUGAUUUGGGCAAGGAUCUGGGUGCUCUUCGUUUGCUCACUGUGUUUGUUCCUAGGUUAGCACCGCUGUUGUCAGCGGGUAGAAUGGUCGACUGGCCAUGGAGCCCUCUGCGAGCAGGUGAGCUUAAUUUCUAGGGGUAUGAGGUGAUUCUGGUCACCUCCGGCGCCGUCGGCAUCGGGAGGUAGAGGCUCAUGUACCGAAAGCUCAUCGACAGCAGUUUCGCUGAUCUGCAGAACCCACAGUUCGACCUGGAUGGGAAGGCCUACGCUGCCGUCGGCCAGAGUGGCCUCAUGGCUAUCUACGAUACACUGCUUAGCCAAUUGUUCGUCGUCUGUGUUGUUAGCCAGCAAGUCUGUGUCGUUAGCCAGCAAGGUUAGAUGUGCUCUCAUUUCCACGCUUGAUUGCUUCUUGCAGCAUGUUCUUGUUUGCUUAUGUUUACCCUGGUGAUUUGCUUUGGGCAAAUAUGUGUGUCCCCUGUUUUCGGCAGUACAUGUUCGGGUUAGUGCUUUGGGCGAAAUGUGUGCAUCAAGUAGUAGUUGUAGCUGCUCAUUAUGAAUAUUGUGCCUACAGCCAUGGUUGACACACGUAUUAAGUGGCAGUUACUCCGUACACAUAGAGGGACGGUUUGGUGGGGAGAGGUUUAUGAAGGCCUACUGGAAUUAAUUAUUUCAUAAUACUUACACCUUCUAAAUUAUAUAUUAGCAGGGGUGUGCUUAUUUGUCCCUCUUCAGAUAGUUCUUGGGGAGAUGGCAUAUUAAUAUCUAUAAUUUAGGCUACAAAAUGCAUUUUAUUCGUAUGUCUGCUAUAUUUCAGUUGAUUGCUUUUCCUUCAAUCAAUUGACAAGUUCUUGCUUCUUUUAAUGUUAUUUCUCUUCAAUCAAUUUAUGAAUCCUUAGUUCAUUUAGUGUUUUCUCUUUACACAGAAGAUCCUACUUUCAGAACAGAUGUGCUAUUCUCACAUGCAAUUAACUUGAUCUGGUUAGAAAGAACCAAUGGUUGGUGCUUGUUAAUUGCAUUAAUAGUAGCAUGUUCUUGUUUGCUUAUGUUUACCCUGGUGAUUUGCUUUCUGUUUGCUGAUUGGGCAAACAUGUGUGUCCCCUGUUUUCGGCAGUACAUGUUCGGGUUAGUGCUUUGGGCGAAAUGUGUGCAUCAAGUAGUAGUUGUAGCUGCUCAUUAUGAAUAUUGUGCCUACAGCCAUGGUUGACACACGUAUUAAGUGGCAGUUACUCCGUACACAUAGAGGGACGGUUUGGUGGGGAGAGGUUUAUGAAGGCCUACUGGAAUUAAUUAUUUCAUAAUACUUACACCUUCUAAAUUAUAUAUUAGCAGGGGUGUGCUUAUUUGUCCUUCUUCAGAUAGUUCUUGGGGAGAUGGCAUAUUAAUAUCUGUAAUUUAGGCUACAAAAUGCAUUUUAUUCGUAUGUCUGCUAUAUUUCAGUUGAUUGCCUUUCCUUUAAUCAAUUGACAAGUUCUUGCUUCUUUUAAUGUUAUUUCUCUUCAAUCAAUUUAUGAAUCCUUAGUUCAUUUAGUGUUUUCUCUUUACACAGAAGAUCCUACUUUCAGAACAGAUGUGCUAUUCUCACAUGCAAUUAACUUGAUCUGGUUAGAAAGAACCAAUGGUUGGUGCUUGUUAAUUGCAUUAAUAGUAGCAUGUUCUUGUUUGCUUAUGUUUACCCUGGUGAUUUGCUUUCUGUUUGCUGAUUGGGCAAACAUGUGUGUCCCCUGUUUUCGGCAGUACAUGUUCGGGUUAGUGCUUUGGGCGAAAUGUGUGCAUCACGUAGUAGUUGUAGCUGCUCAUUAUGAAUAUUGUGCCUACAGCCAUGGUUGACACACGUAUUAAGUGGCAGUUACUCCGUACACAUAGAGGGACGGUUUGGUGGGGAGAGGUUUAUGAAGGCCUACUGGAAUUAAUUAUUUCAUAAUACUUACACCUUCUAAAUUAUAUAUUAGCAGGGGUGUGCUUAUUUGUCCCUCUUCAGAUAGUUCUUUGGGAGAUGGCAUAUUAAUAUCUGUAAUUUAGGCUACAAAAUGCAUUUUAUUCGUAUGUCUGCUAUAUUUCAGUUGAUUGCCUUUCCUUCAAUCAAUUGACAAGUUCUUGCUUCUUUUAAUGUUAUUUCUCUUCAAUCAAUUUAUGAAUCCUUAGUUCAUUUAGUGUUUUCUCUUUACACAGAAGAUCCUACUUUCAGAACUGAUGUGCUAUUCUCACAUGCAAUUAACCUGAUCUGGUUAGAAAGAACCAAUGUUGGGUAAUUCUUCUGUUGCUUCACGGAUUUUCCUGCACGUUGUGUCUGUAUUAUUGUCACUGAAGAUAUACCUCAACUGAAGAUCUAGCUCGCGACGAUGAUGUACCUAAGUGUUGGUCUAUACUUUAAUGCACCUGUGUUCACGCAUGGCCAGCUUUAUGUAGCAGUGUCGCGUGUGACCUCAAAAAAGGCUUUGAAAAUCCUGAUUGAAAAUGAAGAUGGCUCGGAUGCAAGGUGUGAGUCAACAAUGCCAGUAGUGAGUCGAGAGAAGUGGAGAAGAGGGUCCCUCCAGGCUCCAUACAUGAAUGGUGGUGGCAUGUGGCAAUGUCGGGGAAAGCAAGGAAGAUGUUGUUGUACAUCGUCGAACAUAUAAACCCUGGUGGCCAAACUAAAUGUUUUAUAUUCCUUUGGGAAAAUUUUAAGGAAAUCCCCCCAAACAAAUUAUUCAGAUAACUACUUCAGGUUAGGCAAGAGAAAUAAAAAGGGUAACCAUAGAUAUAUGGUCUAGCAUCACGAGGUUCAGGUUCCUGCUGUUGAUCAACCGUUGCUUCAGUCGAGAGAUUAAAGAAGACUGAAAUAUGGGCUCAAGCGAUUGCUAUGUCCGACCUGCACAAGAAUGCCAAGAAGUCUUUCUCGGAGAUGAUUAAGGACAUGUACCUGCACUACAACGAGAGAUCUGGGCUGCUUCUUUGUGGCUUCCAAACUUGAAAUGUUUGUUUGGGAGUUAGUUUAGUUUUUUGUUUUGGAUUCACAGCUUCUCACAUGUACCAUCCUCUUAGACCUUUAGAUUUUCAAAGAAACUAAAUGAAGAUAUGGUGGUAUGGUCUCAAUAGUACAACUUAAAUCUUUCUAUGCUUUAUAUUUGCUCUGAAAUUUGCUCUCGAAGAAUCAUGUAUCUAUGUUAGAUCCCGUGAGCUUUAUAUUUGCUCUGAAAUUUGUUCUUGAA